CCUACGGGAGGCAGCAGUGAGGAAUAUUGGUCAAUGGGCGAGAGCCUGAACCAGCCAAGUCGCGUGAGGGAGUACUGCCCUAUGGGUUGUAAACCUCUUUUGUCGGGGAGCAAAAGCCGGACGUGUCCGGCUGUGAGAGUACCCGAAGAAAAAGCAUCGGCUAACUCCGUGCCAGCAGCCGCGGUAAUACGGAGGAUGUGAGCGUUAUCCGGAUUUAUUGGGUUUAAAGGGUGCGCAGGCGGAUUUUUAAGUCAGCGGUCAAAUCGUGGGGCUCAACCCCAUCCAGCCGCUGAUACUGUAGGACUAGAGAUCGGAUGCAGCAGGCGGAAUGUGUAGUGUAGCGGUGAAAUGCAUAGAUAUUACACAGAACACCGAUUGCGAAGGCAGCUUGCUAGGCCGGAUCUGACACUGAUGCACGAAAGCGUGGGGAUCGAACAGGAUUAGAUACCCUUGUAGUC
rnacentral:rRNA from 1 species